GAUGAACGCUGGCGGCGUGCCUAAUACAUGCAAGUAGAACGCUGAAGCUUGGUGCUUGCACCGAGCGGAUGAGUUGCGAACGGGUGAGUAACGCGUAGGUAACCUGCCUGGUAGCGGGGGAUAACUAUUGGAAACGAUAGCUAAUACCGCAUAACAACAGUUAUUGCAUGAUAGCUGUUUAAAAGGGGCAAUUGCUCCACUACCAGAUGGACCUGCGUUGUAUUAGCUAGUUGGUGAGGUAACGGCUCACCAAGGCGAUGAUACAUAGCCGACCUGAGAGGGUGAUCGGCCACACUGGGACUGAGACACGGCCCAGACUCCUACGGGAGGCAGCAGUAGGGAAUCUUCGGCAAUGGACGGAAGUCUGACCGAGCAACGCCGCGUGAGUGAAGAAGGUUUUCGGAUCGUAAAGCUCUGUUGUAAGAGAAGAACGAGUGUGAGAGUGGAAAGUUCACACUGUGACGGUAUCUUACCAGAAAGGGACGGCUACUA
rnacentral:rRNA from 1 species